GAUGAACGCUGGCGGCGUGCCUAAUACAUGCAAGUCGAGCGAACGGACGAGAAUCUUGCUUCUCUGAUGUUAGCGGCGGACGGGUGAGUAACACGUGGAUAACCUACCUAUAAGACUGGGAUAACUUCGGGAAACCGGAGCUAAUACCGGAUGAUAUUUUGAACCGCAUGGUUCAAAAGUGAAAGACGGUCUUGCUGUCACUUAUAGAUGUAUCCUCGCUGCAUUAGCUAGUUGGUAAGGUAACGGCUUACCAAGGCAACGAUGCAUAGCCGACCUGAGAGGAUGAUCGGCCACACUGGAACUGAGACACGGUCCAGACUCCUACGGGAGGCAGCAGUAGGGAAUCUUCCGCAAUGGGCGAAAGCCUGACGGAGCAACGCCGCGUGAGUGAUGAAGGUCUUCGGAUCGUAAAACUCUGUUAUUAGGGAAGAACAUAUGUGUAAGUAACUGUGCACAUCUUGACGGUACCUAAUCAGAAAGCCACGGCUAACUACGUG
rnacentral:rRNA from 1 species